UACAGAGGUCUCAAGCGUUGUUCGGAUUCAUUGGGCGUAAAGGGUGCGUAGGCGGCGCGGUAAGUCGGGUGUGAAAUUUCGAGGCUUGACUUCGAAACUGCAUUCGAUACUGCCGUGCUUGAGGACUGGAGAGGUGACUGGAAUUUACGGUGUAGCGGUGAAAUGCGUAGAUAUCGUAAGGAAGACCAGUGGCGAAGGCGGGUCUCUGGACAGUUCCUGACGCUGAGGCACGAAGGCCAGGGGAGCAAACGGG
rnacentral:rRNA from 1 species